rnacentral:tRNA from 1 species
UGGCUGAGUGGAAAAGCACUUGGCUUCCGAACAGAGGGUCCCGGGUUCAAAUCCUGG